UAAGGAAUAUUGGGCAAUGGAGGCAACUCUGACCCAGCCAUCCCGCGUGAAGGAUUAAGGCCCUAUGGGUUGUAAACUUCUUUUGUUUGGGAAGAAAUCUAGACAUUUAUGUGUAGUUGACGGUACCUUACGAAUAAGCACCGGCUAACUCCGUGCCAGCAGCCGCGGUAAGACGUAGGAUGCAAGCGUUGUCCGGAUUUAUUGGGCGUAAAGAGUUCGUAGGUGGUUUGUUAAGUUUGGUGUUAAAGAUUGGGGCUCAACCCUGAAACUGCACUGAAUACUGGCAGACUCGAGUGUGGUAGAGGCUAGUGGAAUUCCCAGUGUAGCGGUGAAAUGCGUAGAUAUUGGGAAGAACACCGGUGGCGUAGGCGACUAGCUGGGCCAUAACUGACACUGAGGAACGAAAGCCAGGGGAGCGAAUGGGAUUAGAUACCCCAGUAGUCCUGGCCGUAAACGAUGGAUACUAGGCGUAUCGGGUAUCGACCCCUGAUGUGCCGCAGCUAACGCGAUAAGUAUCCCGCCUGAGUAGUACGGCCGCAAGGUUG
rnacentral:rRNA from 1 species